GGAAAUGAUGAUUUCUCAGACUAGAGUCACCAACACUGGUCUUGAUGUUAAAAAUUAAGUUCUAACUC